rnacentral:rRNA from 1 species
CAGUCGCCGCGGUAAUACGAAGGGGGCUAGCGUUGCUCGGAAUCACUGGGCGUAAAGGGUGCGUAGGCGGGUCUUUAAGUCAGGGGCGGAAUCCUGGAGCUCAACUCCAGAACUGCCUUUGAUACUGAAGAUCUUGAGUAUGGGAGAGGUGAGUGGAACUGCGAGUGUAGAGGUGAAAUUCGUAGAUAUUCGCAAGAACACCAGUGGCGAAGGCGGCUCACUGGCCCAUAACUGACGCUGAGGCACGAAAGCGUGGGGAGCAAACAGGAUUAGAUACCCCCGUAGUCCCUGUCUCUUAUAC